rnacentral:rRNA from 1 species
UACGUAGGGUGCGAGCGUUGUCCGGAAUUACUGGGCGUAAAGAGCUCGUAGGUGGUUUGUCGCGUUGUCCGUGAAAAACUCACAACUCAAUUGUGGGCGUGCGGGCGAUACGGGCAGACUGGAGUACUGCAGGGGAGACUGGAAUUCCUGGUGUAGCGGUGGAAUGCGCAGAUAUCAGGAGGAACACCGGUGGCGAAGGCGACUACCUGGCCUGUUCUUGACGCUGAGGCGCGAAAGCUAGGGGAGCAAACAGG